CGGAGGUGCAGCCGCCUCUGCCCCCAGCACUCAGUAGGGGCCCCGGCGCCCGCACAGCACGGAGACCUGCCCGUCACACGGCUCCACGAGAAGGCCCCUCCGCGUUCCGAACGUCCCCCUCCCCGACGGUGAGCGCCCACCUGACACCACCUCGCUGCACUCCGCUCCCCGCCGCGGCCAAGCCCAUCCCUCCCGCCCAGCUGCGCGGCAGAGAAUAGAGCCCGCCGGAACACGCAGCCCUCCGCUGGAGUUCCGCGCACCUUGGCGGAAGGCAGUCAGAGUCCUUCCCCGAGCUCUCCGGAACACGUCCCCAACCGCCGCCAUAACGCUCAUCGCCGCGAACCGUCGCCUCGUUCCAGACCGCCGAGAGAAAGGCACCGCCUCCCCUGGGGGCGGCACCUGGGCUCGAGGGAGGAUCCCGGGGAGGGGCGGGGGUCCGGCGGCGCGCGGCGCGGGAAGUGAGCGCUGAGGUGCAGUCUGUAUAAAUAUCCCAACACUGCCAUAGGAAUAUGUGAUUGUGGUCUAAUGCUGGAGCAGCUCCUGCUAAGAGGAGCAAUUGGUUCCCAUAAUUGCUGUAACAGGAGAGCAUUCCUAGUAGAUGUUAUCUUUUGGACGGCCUGGCAUCUGACACCCCUCCUAUUUUUCUCCCUCAAACAGAUUUCUGCUCUUGAAGUGCCA
rnacentral:lncRNA from 1 species